rnacentral:lncRNA from 1 species
UCAGAAGCUUUGGAGAAGCUAUCCUAAUAAUUUCUGGGAUAAUGGUCCCAUUAAACAGCAAAUAAACAUAUGGUGCUGAGGCCUUCUUUCUCUGAAAAAGGUCAUUUUCCCUGGUGAUGGGCUCCACUGGAGCAUUAAUGAACAGAAAGACAAGAGCUCCAGCUGAGAAGGUGCUGUUGACAGAAGGCCCACGGACCCAUACAGCUGGAACGUCAUGCCUCAGAAAGAGUGCCACCUCUCAGGAUGGUUUUGUUUGACAGGUCCAUCUCUUGCUUGCUCUUGACUUUCCUUGCACACCAGCUAACCAUCUUCCCAUUUUAAUCUGCUCUCCCCCCUCCCAUGUAUGUUUGAAGGUGUGAUCAUGUUCAAUUAAAAUGUUGCAUGCCCCAUUGUGUAAGCUGCAGAUUAUACUGGAUCUCACAGAACAUUUUAACCCAUAGAUCAUUAGCACUCAGUGUUUUAUCCUAGUAACCAGAGGAAUAAUUUGGGGCCAAAAUCUGGAGGUAAAAGCAUGAGUUAUCCCAACAUGCAUUCACGGUUUCUCUCACUACUUUUCCCACAAGUCCUUUUGCCCUCCCCACAAAGAGCACCUUGAUUUAUAUGGAAUCUACAUUU